GAAGAGCUGGGCGGGCGGGAGGACAGCCCGGCCGGGGAAGGAGACUUCAAGCCGCCCCGGCCUGGCCCCAGCUCGCCCGGCUGACCCUGAGCCAGUCCCCUCCCUCGCAGGGCCUCGGUUUGCCCAUGUGUGUAAUGGGAGACUAGGUGGGCCCCAAGCCUUCCCCAGCGUCUUUACCGGCCUUCCUGGGCCCCAGCUGCCCCCGUGCCGGGGAGGAAGCCAGGCGGGCCAGACAGGAGGCAGCUGAGCCUCUGCUUCCUUAUCUAAUGGGAGCCAGAAAGCCCCGCGGCCCCUCGUGGCUCUCAGUGCUAAGCAGACAAGCUCUGAUGCCGUCUCGCUGACGGCCCUGCCGGACUCAGACACGCCAGCCCCUCCUGCCCCAGGACCUUUGCGCUGACGGUCCUUCGCCCGAAUGCGCUCCCGGGGAAAAAGCAAACACGAUCCCCCACGACCACAGACGAUGCAGGCGAGGUUCCCACGUCUGGGGAGACCACAGGCUCAGCACAUCUGGAGCAAUGGACGAGCCCCACCCUGGGAGAGCCGCCUUCGUGAUCGUGGGCUCUCCUCUGCCAGAGAGAAGAAGGAACAGGCCUGCUUCCUGCCGAGGGACGGCGUGGGGAAGCAGCGAUUCUGAGGGACAGCGAGUCAGGAGACGGUGAGGUGCACCCCAGGCCUGUUCCAAUUCACUGCGCGGUUUUAGGAAAGACUCUUCGGAGCCUUGCUUGCCCCAACUGGACACUGAAGGACUGCCUAGAGCACGGGUUUGCAAAAACACACCCCUUGCAAUGUUCGUAGGUGUUUGGUGGAACAAAGGAGCCUUGAAUCAAAAAAGUUUGGGAAAAGCUGGGUUAUCACCAGCUAAAACAGGUUUCUUUGCUGCAGGACUUCUCAGAUCCUUUAAUGAACCACCAUGCACUGUGACUCUCCCAACAGGGACGAGAACAGUCGUCUCUAGUUCUGUUUACAAAGAGGUUUUCCGGGAGCUGGCGCGCCGGGAUGGGCACAGUGGGUGGACACGCAGGUCCGGAUGAUCUUGAGCUAAGAGUCUCCAGGCUCUGGUGUUCCGUGAGGCAAGCUUCCCCCAGACGCCUUCACCGCAGCGGCCGAGAACUGGAUCAGGGCUGAGCACAGAGACGCAACACGGAGCCACCACGCACGUGUUUUAACCUCUGAGGUUGCCCUUGCUGGCACCAGCCCAAGUAGGUAACUACACACGAAUCAGGUGGGGACAGAGAGCAAACUUCUCUGGGACGUUUCUGUCCGAGCGUGAAGUGUCACGUGUCACGGGACGGGCAGUGUCUUCGGGCUGUGCUGACAGGGUUGGGCCAGUGCGCUCGGGGGCAGAAAUGUAACAGCAUGGGGUUGACUCUUGGUGACAACGACAACCAUGGUGGGGAUCCUGCCCGAGGUGGUGGUGACGGGGCAGCCUGGCAUGAUCACGAGCGGCGGUGACAGUGACCAAGAGCGUGAAAGAGCUGCUUUUCCAGUAAGUGGGCUCCCAGGGUUGAAACAAGCACGUGGCUGGCGGUGCUUCUGCUGUGAUCCCAGACGGGCUGGGGUGAGGGCGGCAGCUCCCAGACCCGUCGAAACCCACCCCUUCCCUCGGGUGCCCCUUUGCCAAGGCUCCCUCUCUAGCUGGGUGAACUUCAGCCCUCUGGAGCCACUGCCUCCCAGGGGAACUCUGAGAGGGAGGUGGGAGCAGCCCGUUGACACUGGCCCCCGGUAUUGGGUGGGGAGGCAGGCCUCUCACCCUCUGACACCACCCCCCCAGCCGGUUCAGGCCAGCUGGCAGGGGGGCCCAAUAAUGAGGUUCCUCUGAUCCCUCCGAGAAGCUGCUGCCCUUUUUCUGUGCACAGAGCGGUCCUGGCUCUCUGUUUCCAUGGCGACAAGAGUUCCAAGAGCAGGAUGCUGCCAGCUCUUCCGUUCCCCUCCUCCCCCAAUCAGAGAGAAGCCUCCUCCUGCUCUGGGGACAAGGCAGGGGUCCUCCAAAGCUGAGCCAAUCCAAAGCCCACCUGGAGCCCCCAACCCCGCCCCCCACCUCCUGAGUAAAUCCCAGGAGGCUGGCACGGAGAGGAUGAAAUGAAUGGAGAGACACAGGAAAGCUGCCAAGUCACCGGGGCAGGCUUGGAAGCUUAAUGAGGUGCUUCGCACUUGUGCCCGAGGGUGAGGCUCGACACCCCAAUCCCUACGCCACACCCAGAGUCACGGGAACGCACCCCCUUUCAGGGCGCAGCAGGUGCGGGUCCCAGCAGCAACACGGCUGGGAGAGGUAGGAUGCCCAAGCCCAAGCUCUCGUACCUUCUUCAGGAUGAGAGAGACAAUUGGAAUCGAGUCUGAUUUGAUCAUUGUGCAGGUGACAAAGGUGACUUUCAGAGAGGGAAGGGGACAGCCCAAGGUCAAACAGGGCAGAGCCAAACCGGGGCUCAGACCCCGAUGCCCAGUCCCAUGCUCGUCUCUGAACAAUGCUGCUCCUUUGCCGUACCCGGGUCUUUCUCACCUCCUGCCCCCUCUCCUACAGCCCAAGGGAGGGGACCCUGAGGCCAGGGGGCCCCAUCCCUGCCCUGUUGGUCCUCGGUGGCUCAGCCCACCUUCAGGAAAGCAGUAAGCCGUACCCCUCUGGGCCUCAGUUUCUCUGUCUAUAAAUUGGGGAUAAUGAGACCUAGGCCCCAGGAUGGUUGGACAAUGACAAGAGGCAGCCCAUGGCCAUUUGCAUAAUGAGAGGCCUGUGCCCCUGAGGGGCGGGGGCUCUUGUGGGAAGGGACAGGACAGAGGAGAAAGUAAAGCGGAAGAGAACAGGGGCCAGACUCAAGAAGACCCAAAAGACCCACACAUGACUGCAGGUCACUCAUGUCAGCGAAUAAAAAGGACCCACUUAUCUCAGCUGCCCAAGGGCAGAG